AACGUCACAGAGGGUGAGAAUCCCGUGCGAUGAGAUGUCCCAGACCUAUGUAAAGUUCCUUCGAAGAGUCGAGUUGUUUGGGAAUGCAGCUCUAAGUGGGUGGUAAAUUCCAUCUAAAGCUAAAUAUUGGCGAGAGACCGAUAGCGAACAAGUACAGUGAUGGAAAGAUGAAAAGAACUUUGAAAAGAGAGUGAAAAAGUACGUGAAAUUGUUGAAAGGGAAGGGCUUGAGAUCAGACUUGGUAUUUUGUAUGUUACUCUCUCGGGGGUGGCCUCUACAGUUUACCGGGCCAGCAUCAGUUUGAGCGGUAGGAUAAGUGCAAAGAAAUGUGGCACUGCUUCGGUAGUGUGUUAUAGUCUUUGUCGAUACUGCCAGCUUAGACUGAGGACUGCGGCUUCGGCCUAGGAUGUUGGCAUAAUGAUCUUAAGUCGCCCGUCUUGAAACACGGAC
rnacentral:rRNA from 1 species